ensembl:lncRNA
GUCCGAGAGAGCGCUACGGUAAAUACCUACCUCAUGGGGACCAGAGCUAUACGUGUCCGAGAGAGCGCUGCAGUAAAUACCUACCUCGUGGGGACCAGAGCUAUACGUGUCCGAGAGAGCGCUGCAGUAAAUACCUACCUCGUGGGGACCAGAGCUAUACGUGUCCGAGAGAGCGCUGCGUUAAACGCCUACCUUGUGGGGACCACAGCUAAAUGUGUAAGUAGGCCACGUCUGGAACUCUACCAACCCCUCUACGUUAGCCGCUACCGUUUGCCCGAUCUGCCCAGUUUCCAGACCCCUCACCAGGGUAAAGGCGGGUACUGGUCCAGUCCUCAGCGGUACCGCCCGAGUGGCAGCACAUGGCAGAACCUACGACGGCACGUCCUCGUAGUGCCGGGCAACACGGGCUUCUCCGACAUCACGUCCACUAAAACGGCAGGCAGCUGUGGACUGCGCCACACGCUAGUGUGGAAAUAUCGCUGGCUUAAACUGAAGGAACUGACAAAGAGCUACAGACCCGGCAUGGCGGCGAGGUCCGUCUACAGGCCUUGAGUUUAGGAUCUCCUGCGAGGGAGGACUUUCCCGUCAUCGGUUCUCCGACCAAAGCUGAGCGAUGAAGGCAUCACUAUACGAUCUGACCGUGUAAUCCAAACACGGACGUGAAUUUAAAUCGCAGGACUAACGGUCGUAUUGUAUUCUGCCUUAAGUAAAGAAACUUUUGG